UCCUUGGUGGCUCAGAUGGUAAAGCGUCUGCCUGCAAUGCAGAAGGCCCAGGUUCGAUCCCUGGGUCAGGAA
rnacentral:tRNA from 1 species